UAAGGAAUAUUGGUCAAUGGACGAAAGUCUGAACCAGCCAUGCCGCGUGAAGGAUGAAGGUCCUCUGGAUUGUAAACUUCUUUUAUCUGGGACGAAAAAAGGGAAUUCUUUCCCACUUGACGGUACCAGAGGAAUAAGCACCGGCUAACUCCGUGCCAGCAGCCGCGGUAAUACGGAGGGUGCAAGCGUUAUCCGGAUUCACUGGGUUUAAAGGGUGCGUAGGUGGGCAGUUAAGUCAGUGGUGAAAUCU
rnacentral:rRNA from 1 species